GUUGUGCAUGUCCGCCAGUGCCUGUGGACUUGGCAGCUGGACUUGAGGGCUGACUGGCACCUUGACUAACAGGCCAGCAGGAAGAGUCAGUUCAGUAUCCCUUUUUUUUUUUACACUGUUCCAUAUUGCUCCUCCUAGAACAUUUGACUGCCUGAUACCUUUGGCAAGCACAUUGUUGAUUCUUCCUGUGAUUUUUACCCAUUAGUUACUGUGAGUGGGUCUUUGAGAGGGCCUUGAAAGCUGUAUCAUGAGACUUUUCAUCUUGCCAUUCUUUGAGUUCAGUUUGUGUGGUAAGGAUUAGUGAAGAGAUAUGGGUCUUCAUCUGAUUCUUGACUUCUCCCAUCUCAUCUGUUUCCUAUGAUCAGGUGAUUGGUAGUUGGUCCAUUUCACCCUCAGGACUUACAGAGGCUGAAGUAUUCUUAGGGGGUAGAGCUUAAAGAAGAAACUUGUAGCCUGGGAAAUCCACCAGAAGAAUUAAAUGUAUUCAUUUCAGCUUCUGUGCUACAGGGUAUGUUUCCAUCCUCCAUUAUAAAGGUCUGACCUUGGAGCAUUAUUAUUUUAUCCCCAUUACUUCCCUGAUACUUCUGGAUGCUGUACCAGCAGUGAUAGCAACCAAUGCUUUGUCUACCCUCAUCUAGAGUUCUAGCCUUUUUUUUUUGUGGAACUCGUGGUUAUGGUCUAGAUCUUCCUUUUCCAAAUGGAUAUUUAUUUUGGAGAUCAGAAGAG